ensembl:lncRNA novel transcript
CAGCCCUGUAGGAGACACCUCCAGAGAAAGUAACAGCUCUCAAUUGAUUAGCUGAGUCUCCACCAGCAGAGAGCAGAGAAGAGGAGAAGCAGCUGGAUGUCAGAGACUGCAGUUUGACGUUGGAGAAAAGCAGCUUGACUUCAGAGGGACAGCUUGACAGCAUGGAUUCAGAGAGGAGAAGAUCACCUUCCUGCUCCGUCCCCUUUCCAGCUCCCUUUCCCACUGAGAGCCACUUACACAGGCAAUAAAAUCCUCUGCAUUCACCACCCU